AGUGGCGGACGGGUGAGUAACGCGUGGGCAACCUGCCCUGUACAGGGGGAUAACACUUAGAAAUAGGUGCUAAAACCGCAUAAGCGCACAGCUUCGCAUGAAGAAGUGUGAAAAACUCCGGUGGUACAGGAUGGACCCGCGUCUGAUUAGCUUGUUGGAGGGGUAACGGCCCACCAAGGCGACGAUCAGUAGCCGGCCUGAGAGGGUGAACGGCCACAUUGGGACUGAGACACGGCCCAAACUCCUACGGGAGGCAGCAGUGGGGAAUAUUGCACAAUGGGGGAAACCCUGAUGCAGCGACGCCGCGUGAGUGAAGAAGUAUUUCGGUAUGUAAAGCUCUAUCAGCAGGGAAGAAAAUGACGGUACCUGACUAAGAAGCCCCGGCUAACUACGUGCCAGCAGCCGCGGUAAUACGUAGGGGGCAAGCGUUAUCCGGAUUUACUGGGUGUAAAGGGAGCGUAGACGGUGAUGCAAGUCUGAUGUGAAAGCCCGGGGCUCAACCGCGGGACUGCAUUGGAAACUGUAUGACUGGAGUGCAGGAGAGGUAAGUGGAAUUCCUAGUGUAGCGGUGAAAUGCGUAGAUAUUAGGAGGAACACCAGUGGCGAAGGCGGCUUACUGGACUGUAACUGACGUUGAGGCUCGAAAGCGUGGGGAGCAAACAGGAUUAGAUACCCUGGUAGUCCACGCCGUAAACGAUGAACACUA
rnacentral:rRNA from 1 species